UGGGGCGCUAUGGGGUGGAUAUGGGGCGCUGUGGGGGGGAUAUAGGGCGCUGUGGGGUGGAUAUGGGGCGCUGUGGGGGGAUAUAGGGCACUGUGGGGUGGAUACGGGGCGCUAUGGGGCGGAUAUAGGGCGUUAUGGGGAGCUAUGGGGUGGACAUGAGGCACUAUGGGGUGGAUAUGGGGUGCUAUGGGUCUCUAUGGGACACAAUGAUGCUCUAUGGGUCUCUAUGGGUCUCUAUGGGUCCCUAUGUGUCUCUAUGGGUCCCUAUGAUGCUCUAUGUGUCUCUAUGGGUCCCUAUGGGUCUCUAUGGGUCCCUAUGGGUCUCUAUGGGUCUCUAUGUGUCUCUAUGGGUCCCUAUGUGUCUCUAUGUGUCCCUAUGGG
ensembl:lncRNA